rnacentral:rRNA from 1 species
GAUGAACGCUGGCGGCGUGCCUAAUACAUGCAAGUCGAGCGAACAGACGAGGAGCUUGCUCCUCUGACGUUAGCGGCGGACGGGUGAGUAACACGUGGAUAACCUACCUAUCAGACUGGGAUAACUUCGGGAAACCGGAGCUAAUACCGGAUAAUAUAUUGAACCGCAUGGUUCAAUAGUGAAAGACGGUUUUGCUGUCACUUAUAGAUGGAUCCGCGCCGCAUUAGCUAGUUGGGAAGUUAACGGGUUACCAAGGCAACGAUGCGUAGCCGACCUGAGAGGGUGAUCGGCCACACUGGAAGUGAGACACGGUCCAGACUCCUACGGGAGGCAGCAGUAUGGAAUCUUCCGCAAUGGGCGAAAGCUUUACGGAGCAACGCCGCGUGAGUGAUGAAGGUCUUCGGAUCGUAAAACUCUGUUAUUAGGUAAGAACAAAUGUGUAAGUAACUAUGCACGUCGUGACGGUACCUAAUCAGAAAGCCACGGCUAACUACGUG